UACGUAGGGGGCAAGCGUUGUCCGGAUUUAUUGGGCGUAAAGAGCGUGUAGGCGGCCAGGUAGGUCCGUUGUGAAAACUCGAGGCUCAACCUCGAGACGCCGAUGGAAACCAUCUGGCUAGAGUCCGGAAGAGGAGAGUGGAAUUCCCGGUGUAGCGGUGAAAUGCGCAGAUAUCGGGAAGAACACCCGUGGCUAAGGCGGCUCUCUAGUACGGUACUGACGCUGAGGAGCGAAAGCGUGGGGAGCGAACAGG
rnacentral:rRNA from 1 species